GACGAACGCUGGCGGCGUGCCUAAUACAUGCAAGUCGAACGCACUCUCGUUUAGAUUGAAGGAGCUUGCUCCUGAUUGAUAAACAUUUGAGUGAGUGGCGGACGGGUGAGUAACACGUGGGUAACCUGCCCUAAAGUGGGGGAUAACAUUUGGAAACAGAUGCUAAUACCGCAUAAAACCUAACACCGCAUGGUGUAGGGUUGAAAGAUGGUUUCGGCUAUCACUUUAGGAUGGACCCGCGGUGCAUUAGUUAGUUGGUGAGGUAAAGGCUCACCAAGACCGUGAUGCAUAGCCGACCUGAGAGGGUAAUCGGCCACACUGGGACUGAGACACGGCCCAGACUCCUACGGGAGGCAGCAGUAGGGAAUCUUCCACAAUGGACGAAAGUCUGAUGGAGCAACGCCGCGUGAGUGAAGAAGGUUUUCGGAUCGUAAAACUCUGUUGUUGGAGAAGAAUGUAUCUGAUAGUAACUGAUCAGUAGUGACGGUAUCCAACCAGAAAGCCACGG
rnacentral:rRNA from 1 species